CCAAUAGCGUAUAUUAAAGUUGUUGCAGUUAAAAAGCUCGUAGUUGAAUUUCGGGAUCAGUACGCUGGUCGUGCCUUUGGUAUGUACUGGUGUCACUGAUUCCUCCCUUCUGAAGAACCGUUAUGCCAUUUAUUUGGUGUGGCGGGGAAUCAGGACUGUUACUUUGAAAAAAUUAGAGUGUUUAAAGCAGGCUCGCGCUUGAAUACAUUAGCAUGGAAUAAUGAAAUAGGACGUUUGAUCUUAUUUUGUUGGUUUCUAGGAUCGACGUAAUGAUUAAUAGGGAUAGUUGGGGGCAUUAGUAUUCAAUUGUCAGAGGUGAAAUUCUUGGAUUUAUUGAAGACUAACUACUGCGAAAGCAUUUGCCAAGGAUGUUUUCAUUAAUCAAGAACGAAAGUUAGGGGAUCGAAGACGAUCAGAUACCGUCGUAGUCUUAACCAUAAACUAUGCCGACUAGGGAUCGGAUGAUGUUAAUUUUUUAAUGACUCAUUCGGCGCCUUACG
rnacentral:rRNA from 1 species